rnacentral:rRNA from 1 species
UCAGACACGUCAGAGUUUGAUCCUGGCUCAGGAUGAACGCUAGCUACAGGCUUAACACAUGCAAGUCGAGGGGCAGCAUGGGCUUAGCUUGCUAAGCCCGAUGGCGACCGGCGCACGGGUGAGUAACACGUAUCCAACCUUCCGGUAACUCCGGUAUAGCCUUUCGAAAGAAAGAUUAAUCCCGGAUAGUAUGGUGAUUCCGCAUGGUUUCUCCAUUAAAGGAUUCCGGUUACCGAUGGGGAUGCGUUCCAUUAGGCAGUUGGCGGGGUAACGGCCCACCAAGGCUACGAUCAGUAGGGGUUCUGAGAGGAAGGUCCCCCACAUAGGAACUGAGACACGGUCCUA